GACGAACCGUGCGAACGUUAUUCGGAAUCACUGGGCUUAAAGCGCGUGUAGGCGGAUGGGAACGUCGGUAGUUGAAAAGCCCCCCGGCUCAACCGGGGAAGUGGUGCCGAAACGACCCGUCUGGAGGGACGUAGGGGGACCUGGAACUUCCGGUGGAGCGGUGAAAUGCGUUGAGAUCGGAAGGAACGCCCGUGGCGAAAGCGAGGUCCUGGACGUCUACUGACGCUGAGACGCGAAAAGCUAGGGGAGCCAAACGGG
rnacentral:rRNA from 1 species